GUUCAGAUUUCUUGUGCACCCUUCUGACGGAGUGAGUGCCGAGCUCCAAAGUUCUCCGUUUCCCCGGCAGCGAAUCUUCCGCGAACAACGAGUCUCGGUGUUGCAGAAAGCCGAUAGAAUCCUUUGCGUACAAGCCAACGGAGCUCGCGAGGACCGCGGCAAUCUUAAGAACUGGGCGUCGAAAGAUCCCGACACUGAACGAAGACACCAGACGCAUCACGGGCAAGGCACCAUGCGCUCAACAAACGCCCGGCGAAAACGGACGUCAGCUCUCCGGACAAAACUCAACCACCGACACAGUUACUUGUGUUUCUCCUCCCUCGACCGCAGACUCGCUUUCUGUCACAGGCCUCAAGCCUGGUCCCCGGUCUUGCGUGAGGAGAGAGUCCACUCCAGAGAAAUCCUUGAAGUCCCUCGAAAGUUCUGUGCAGGGGGGGAUCUUCGCUGUAACGAGUCUUUUUACUGAGGUGUCGAUGCAGCUAUCGACUUUUCUGGAUGGAUCCGAGGUGCUUUCAGAGGCACUCGCCUCUGAUGAGAACCGUGUACCGCUACUUGCCGGAGGUUGCAGAUGCCAGUCUCGCUCGGCCGGGACUGGAUGCACUGUAAACAGCUGAAAAGUCGAGCUCGGUAACGGAAAACUUGGCGUCCGUAGAUAUCGCGACGCGACAGAUGAUUCUUCUACCGAGAGCGAGAAUAGCUCAGGACAAGUAGACAUUCUCUCAUGUUGACACUGACGAGUUUAAGCUGGACCUUGAAUUAGAGCUCGUCACAGUUCCGCGACCCAACCGAGCAAACAGAGAUACCUUAGCUAAAAGAGAAACAUCCACCCUGAGUUCGCCGCGUCUCCGCUGUCAGCUUCGCGCGCUGCAGUGUAGGCGGCACACCGACCUAAGAGAGGGCGAACCGCCUCGACAGAGAAGCGGGAGAAGGUCCGGCUGGAAUUGAAAGAAUUUGGACAGAAUCGGAAAAAGCGGUUCCCCGAAGAAACCAACACGCGAGCUCCUUUCGAGAAACAUUCCACGCCUUGCUUUCCUUUUGAGCCUCACACUCUUCGCGGCUUCGUCGCUCUAG
rnacentral:lncRNA from 1 species